rnacentral:lncRNA from 1 species
UAAAUUUUUAGUAUAUAUUUUCCACUGUAAUUACUGGGCCAAGUUCAUUAUAGAUAGAGAUAAUUGUAGCAAGAAGAAUGUCCAGUAAAGUAAGAUUUACAAACACAUCAUGAUCACCAAAACACAAUUUUGUCAUGAAUUUAUCUGUGUCCAUUGUUUAAUAUGCACAUAGACCAAGGUGAGCGACACAGGCUCUUGAGAGCCUCUAGUUUUUA